rnacentral:rRNA from 1 species
UGGGGAAUAUUGCACAAUGGGCGCAAGCCUGAUGCAGCCAUGCCGCGUGUAUGAAGAAGGCCUUCGGGUUGUAAAGUACUUUCAGCGGGGAGGAAGGGAGUAAAGUUAAUACCUUUGCUCAUUGACGUUACCCGCAGAAGAAGCACCGGCUAACUCCGUGCCAGCAGCCGCGGUAAUACGGAGGGUGCAAGCGUUAAUCGGAAUUACUGGGCGUAAAGCGCACGCAGGCGGUUUGUUAAGUCAGAUGUGAAAUCCCCGGGCUCAACCUGGGAACUACAUCUGAUACUGGCAAGCUUGAGUCUCGUAGAGGGGGGUAGAAUUCCAGGUGUAGCGGUGAAAUGCGUAGAGAUCUGGAGGAAUACCGGUGGCGAAGGCGGCCACCUGGACGAAGACUGACGCUCAGGUGCGAAAGCGUGGGGAGCAAACAGG